AUUGAACGCUGGCGGCAGGCCUAACACAUGCAAGUCGAGCGAGCGGCGGACGGUUGCGUACUGUUGAGGAAACUGUCUGUUGGCUGGGGAUAACUGGUGGAAACCGCUUCGAAUACCGCAUUCCAUCAGAUUUGGCCAGAUGGGAUUAGCUAGGAGGUGGGGUAACGGCUCACCUAGGCGACGAUCCCUAGCUGGUCUGAGAGGAUGACCAGCCACACUGGAACUGAGACACGGUCCAGACUCCUACGGGAGGCAGCAGUGGGGAAGAUUGCACAAUGGGCGAAAGCCUGAUGCAGCCAUGCCGCGUGUGUGAAGAAGGCCUUCGGGUUGUAAAGCACUUUCAGCGGGGAGGCGUUACCCGCAGAAGAAGCACCGGCUAACUCCGUGCCAGCAGCCGCGGUAAUUC
rnacentral:rRNA from 1 species